rnacentral:tRNA from 1 species
AGGAGUUUAGGUUAGCCUAGACCAAGAGCCUUCAAAGCUCUAAGCAAAUAGCAUAUAUUUAACUCCUG